UACGAAGGGGGCUAGCGUUGCUCGGAAUCACUGGGCGUAAAGCGCACGUAGGCGGCUUGUUAAGUCAGGGGUGAAAUCCUGGAGCUCAACUCCAGAACUGCCUUUGAAACUACAUCGCUAGAAUCAUGGAGAGGUUAGUGGAAUUCCGAGUGUAGAGGUGAAAUUCGUAGAUAUUCGGAAGAACACCAGUGGCGAAGGCGACUAACUGGACAUGUAUUGACGCUGAGGUGCGAAAGCGUGGGGAGCAAACAGG
rnacentral:rRNA from 1 species